GGACUGUGAGGAUUUGUGUUAAUGGUCUCGUUCGUCGUAAUGGCAGGUUUGCCUUGCCGACCAUCCUGAUAUAAUCUGAGUCC